rnacentral:lncRNA from 1 species
UUUUGUCCUCCAUUUACGUGUAUUACCAUAUCAUACAAAAUUAUCUUUUCACCGCCCUUCAUAUUAAAAAGUACCUCCACCAAUAUUUAAGUGCCUCUCAAAUGGUAACUUUGAUGGAAUUUUUAUUAGGAUUGUCUACUUACCAAACGUUUGAGAUUUGCUUUUCUCUCUAUCACUCCCUAAAAUUGUUGGAUCUACAUCCGGA